rnacentral:lncRNA from 1 species
UACCCCAAAGGUGACCCCAAAGGGGAUGACCCCAAAAGUGAUGACCCCAAAGGGGAUGACCCCGAACAUGACCCCGAAGGUGAGCACAGGGUGACCCCAAAAGGGACCCCAAAAAGGGGAUGACUCCGAAGCUGACCCCAAAAUUGA